rfam:Picea glauca, whole genome shotgun sequence.
ACAUGCCAACAACAUAUCGUUAAUGUGUUGGAUCCCAUUAGAACUCCACAGUUAAGCAUUCUCAUGCUAUAUUAAUACUGGGAUGGGUGAUCGCUCAAGAAGUCCUAGUGUUUUUCAUGCC